AUAUCGGCCCUUUUUAGGGCCAUCAAUUUUUUUGUACGAUGGAUCG
rfam:Trachymyrmex zeteki contig7894, whole genome shotgun sequence.